rnacentral:tRNA from 1 species
AAGUAAAGAAGUAAAAAUACAUUUAAUUUCGACUUAAAAUUAAGGGCAUUAGGCCUCAUACUUA